UCCUUAACAUUUACACGCUGCUUGCAAGAAUUUGAACGAAGUGCUUUCUGUACACUACCUAUGCAAUCUUAGCCACAGACUUAUCAGUUUUGCUAUCCUCACAUUGCAGACAAGACGCUAACCCUUCUCAGAUGUUCACUUUGGUGCUCUGGUCAUGGGAGCGAGAACUGCGCACAGUCUUCCCAAUAUGCAGUUGUCCUGUUGUGUGAACAGGGAAACAAACCUGUUUUCUAUUUGCACAUAUCUAAGGAUGGAUCCCGAAUAGUUGCCUUACGCCUUACUUUCUGUCAGUCUGAUCAUUGCUUUACCAGCAUGGCAGCUGGGCCUGUAUCUCCAUGUGGAAGGAGGAACAGCCAUGGCAUGAAUAAAAUUUCUGGAUAAAAGUGCUGCUAGUGUCUUUGUUCUGUGAGAUGGCAAGAGUGUGCAGAUGGUUCUUUUCUGGAGCCAUUGAGCUGCUUGAUAAGUUCUAAUUGGGGGCAUUGCUACCUGCACCUUCUGCAACCUCUUCGUUCAAUGCCUGCGUCUUGAUGGAUCCACCCUGGCCAACUCCAUCUCCAUCUUCGGCCUCCUUGUAUUCUGUAUAAAAUUCUACUGCUGGACCUACAUCUAGAAAAAAAAAGCAAGGAGAAUUGUGGUGAAGGAAGCGCAAGCAACAUUUGUGCAUCUGCUGCUGGGAUGUGGACUUCCUUUGCACCUGACGGGGUGCCUGGAACGGUGAGGGCGGACGCCACAUGCUUUUUCUCGGUUGCUUUGCGGAUGUCUUGCUGGAACUGGAAAUGAAGGGGACAGAUGGCUUUGGAAAUUUGCACUGAGGAACUGAACCUUUUGUUUGUCGGACAUUCCUGAAAUGCAACUCCCAUCCUGUGGGUAGGCUGAUAUAGUGUGUGAUAGACCAUACGGUUGUAGUUCCCUAGAUUCCAAACAGUGUCACGACUUACUGCUUGUUUGCUCAGCAGAAUGGGAGCAGGACAGUGGUCAGUGUUGGGUUUUUACUUGGAAAUCUGAAGUUUGCGCCUCUUUUUGGCUUACCUGACACUUAUCCCCCAAUCUUUGUAGCUUUGUAGCACAAACAUUUAUUUCAUCCAGGCUUUUCACUGAGGCGUUCUAUCUUUUUUGGUUUUGUAUAGUCUGCUUCUGGUUUGUCGUCUGUUUUAUGAAUAAUUUUUACUGUUCUGAGCAAUUGUUUUAUGCUGUUUUUAUGGCUUCUUUUGUAUCUAUUUUUUAAUCUAUCAUUUAUGACAUUUUUGAUGAUGGCUUGACUUGUAAGCUGCUUCGAGCAGAACUCUGGAAAGCAGCAUAUACAUUCCCUAAAUAAAUAAAUACAU